GACGAACGCUGGCGGCGUGCCUAAUACAUGCAAGUCGAACGAGAGCGACCGGUGCUUGCACUGGUCAAUCUAGUGGCGAACGGGUGAGUAACACGUGGGUAACCUGCCCAUCAGAGGGGGAUAACAUCCGGAAACGGAUGCUAAAACCGCAUAGGUCUUCGAACCGCAUGGUUUGAAGAUGAAAAGAGGCGCAAGCUUCUGCUGAUGGAUGGACCCGCGGUGCAUUAGCUAGUUGGUGAGGUAACGGCUCACCAAGGCCGUGAUGCAUAGCCGACCUGAGAGGGUGAUCGGCCACAUUGGGACUGAGACACGGCCCAAACUCCUACGGGAGGCAGCAGUAGGGAAUCUUCCGCAAUGGACGCAAGUCUGACGGAGCAACGCCGCGUGAGUGAAGAAGGUUUUCGGAUCGUAAAACUCUGUUGUUAGAGAAGAACAAGUGCUAGAGUAACUGUUAGCGACUUGACGGUAUCUAACCAGAAAGCCACGGCUAACUACGUG
rnacentral:rRNA from 1 species